GAAGCACCGGCUAACUCCGUGCCAGCAGCCGCGGUAAUACGGAGGGUGCAAGCGUUGUUCGGAUUUAUUGGGCGUAAAGCGCGUGUAGGCGGUUUCUUAAGUCUGAUGUGAAAGCCCUGGGCUCAACCCAGGAAGUGCAUUGGAUACUGGGAGACUUGAAUACGGGAGAGGGUAGUGGAAUUCCUAGUGUAGGAGUGAAAUCCGUAGAUAUUAGGAGGAACACCGGUGGCGAAGGCGGCUACCUGGACCGAUAUUGACGCUGAGACGCGAAAGCGUGGGGAGCAAACAGGAUUAGAUACCCUGGUAGUCCACGCCGUAAACGAUGAGAACUAGGUGUCGCGGGUA
rnacentral:rRNA from 1 species